GUGUUGUAGAUAGCUUUUAUGGUGUUGGAAAGCUUAAAGGUAUUUUCUGCCAGUAUUUUAUGGACCAGCUUGUAAUUGGAAUGUCAGGACUAUUGUUCCAAAAUGAUAAAAUGCCAUCAUUUUUCCAGAUUAUUAAAUAGUUAUAAUUUUAUGAGAACAUGGCGUCUUACUUUUUGAUUCAAUACCUUCAACAGUAGUCCUUUGGUUAUAUGAUGACCAGUAG
rnacentral:misc_RNA from 1 species